UACGGAGGGCGCUAGCGUUAUUCGGAAUUACUGGGCGUAAAGCGCACGUAGGCGGCUUUGUAAGUCAGAGGUGAAAGCCUGGAGCUCAACUCCAGAAUAGCCUUUUAGACUGCAUCGCUUGAAUCAUGGAGAGGUGAGUGGAAUUCCGAGUGUAGAGGUGAAAUUCGUAGAUAUUCGGAAGAACACCAGUGGCGAAGGCGGCUCACUGGACAUGUAUUGACGCUGAGGUGCGAAAGCGUGGGGAGCAAACAGG
rnacentral:rRNA from 1 species